rnacentral:rRNA from 1 species
GGUGAACGCUAGCGACAGGCUUAACACAUGCAAGUCGAGGGGCAGCAUAAAAGUAGCAAUACUUUGGUGGCGACCGGCGCACGGGUGAGUAACGCGUAUGCAACCUACCUAUCAGAGGGGAAUAACCCGGCGAAAGUCGGACUAAUACCGCAUAAAACAGGGGCACCGCAUGGUGAUAUUUGUUAAAGAGAUUCGCUGAUAGAUGGGCAUGCGUUCCAUUAGGUAGUUGGUGAGGUAACGGCUCACCAAGCCGACGAUGGAUAGGGGAACUGAGAGGUUGGUCCCCCACACUGGUACUGAGACACGGACCAGACUCCUACGGGAGGCAGCAGUGAGGAAUAUUGGUCAAUGGGCGAGAGCCUGAACCAGCCAAGUCGCGUGAAGGAAGAAGGAUCUAUGGUUCGUAAACUUCUUUUGCAGGGGAAUAAAGUGCAGGACGUGUCCUGUUUUGUAUGUACCCUGAGAAUAAGGAUCGGCUAACUCCGUGCCAGCAGCCGCCGUAA